rnacentral:tRNA from 1 species
GCGGAUAUAGCUCAAUGGUAGAGUGGCAGCCUUCCAAGCUGUUAGUGAGAGUUCGAGUCUCUCUAUCCGCU